CUGCUGUGUCCUUGCAAUUGCGCUGGAGCGAGUCGCAGUACAACUGUACCGAUAUCAUCUAGAAAUGGGCAAAGUGAAUGAGAAUUGAGCUGUGAUCCAGGAACUCCCCAAGACAAAUACUGCUCUGCAUUUUGACUUUUCAUCCUUUCAAGAACUAUACACUUUGAAUCCACUUCAUUAUUCACUACUUUGAAAUUUUAUUUUUACACAGAGCUUGCAGCCAUGACUGAUUCUAGAAUCCAGUUCUCUGGACAAGUUUCACAUAAAUAAAUAAGUACAGAAAAUAUUUGCAGAUUUUGGAAAAAAUUACUUUUGGGUCAUCACAUCACAGAACCAUCCAACCAGGAUUUUGGGAUUUGCAACCCAAAAGGUAGCUUUUCUUAGAUCUGCAUUAUCUUCCAGAUAUUGGGUGUGGUAUGAUGUUCCCUCCUAUACUAUUGCAGUUUAAAUUGCUGACUUCUUCCAGAAAUACAUUUUUCAUCCCGGGCAAGCACAUUUGAAAGAAUGGAACUUGAAUUAUAAUCACUAAUCUAACAAAAGAAAUUAACUUUAAAAUAUGUAUAUAAUUGGAUGUCAUCAAGAGUAGAAUUUUUUUUUGAAUUAGUUAAUUGAUCAAAUAAGGAGAAGGAACACUAUGCAGCAUUGGAAGAGAAUGAAAAAAGAACAACAUAAAGAAGAUAAAUCAUUGUGGAUCCUGAAGGAUAAUUAGUUACUCUUGUUAGAGUUCUACCCCCCCCCCCCCCCCGUUCAAAGAGCUCCAUUGGCUGCCAUUUAUUUUCUGAGCCCAAUUCAAGGUGCAGGUUAUUACCUACAAAGCCCUAAACGGUUUGGGACCCACCUACCUUCGUGACCGUAUUUCCCCCUACGAACCUGCACGAUCCCUUCGCUCGUCGGGGGAGGCCCUCCUCUCGCUCCCACCACCCUCGCAGGCGCGGUUGGUGGGGACGAGGGAGAGGGCCUUCUCCGUCGUGGCCCCCCGGCUUUGGAACUCGCUCCCCAGGGAGAUCAGGCAGGCCCCUACCCUCCUCUCAUUCCGGAAGAGCCUGAAAACAUGGCUCUUCCAGCAGGCCUUCGAUAACUGAUUUGGUAAGUCCGAUCAGUUGUUUUUUUCCAAUUAUAGUCCCGCGUUUAUGCCUCUUCCAGCACCUUGAAGGUGACGACAAUUUGGACAAUCCACCCCCUCCUGAUGAUUUAGAUGUAAUUAGCACUUUGGCCAGGUUUCUCCUGAUUUUAUCUAGAUUUUAUCUUUUGUCCUUAUAGGUGAAUUUUUAUGACUGGUUUUCAUUGUUUUUAAUUUGUUUUAUGGUGUUAUUUUAUUGUUGUUGACUGGACUUGGCCCCAUGUAAGUCGCCCCGAGUCCCUUCGGGGAGAUGGGGCGGGAUAUAAGAAUAAAAUUAUUAUGAUAAAUUAUUAGAGAAGA